UCUCCGUAGGUGAACCUGCGGAAGGAUCAUUAUAAAUGAAAAACGAAUAACUUCAGGGAAGAAGGGAACCUGCACGGUGACCUCCCUUGUCGGGCCACCCAAUACCUUCAAAAUGCCGCCGUCCUAGCGGUGGCAGACGAAAAAAAAACAAGAAAAACAAAAUAGAAACAGGCACGGUGGCCCGUUCACCUUCACACAACCCUCCGAGUACCGCUUCCAUGUUGCUUCCCCGCAAAUCCACCUCUUUGGUGAGCGCGGGGGAGGUCCGCAUCAAAUUCACCUGAAUGUCACAGCAGUCAGACAGCCAUUCAUGGAAACAAUAAAACUUUCAACAACGGAUCUCUUGGUUCCC
rnacentral:misc_RNA from 1 species